GGGCCGAGCUGGAUUUGAACCAGCGUAGACAUAUCGUCAACGAAUUUACAGUCCGUCCCCAUUAACCGCUCGGGCAUCGACCC
rnacentral:tRNA from 23 species